rnacentral:rRNA from 1 species
GACGAACGCUGGCGGCGUGCUUAACACAUGCAAGUCGAACGAAGUGGCGAACGGGUGAGUAACGCGUAAUCAACCUGCCCUUCAGAGGGGGACAACAGUUGGAAACGACUGCUAAUACCGCAUACUGAAGGAGGGGAUUGCGUCUGAUUCGCUAGUUGGAGGGGUAACGGCCUACCAAGGCGAUGAUCAGGAGCCGGUCUGGGAGGAUUAACGGCUACAUUGGGACUGUGACACGGCCCCAGCUCCUACGGGAUGCAGCAGUGGGGAAUCUUCCGAAAUUGGCGAAAGUCUGACGGAGCAACGCCGCGUGGUGGAUGACGGCCUUCGGGUUGUAAAGGUCUGUUAAUCGGGACGCGGUACCGGAAGAGAAAGCCACGGCUAACUACGUGCCAGCCGCCGCGGUAAUUC